AUGCUCUCAAAGACCAAGGCAUCAAUAGCGCCUCCACAGCCUUCUCGCACUUCGGUCCUGAAGAGGAUCAAAAUGCUUUCACAGAGGAUU
rnacentral:SRP_RNA from 1 species